UACGUAGGGUGCGAGCGUUGUCCGGAAUCACUGGGCGUAAAGGGCGCGUAGGCGGUGCGAGAGGCGUGUGGUGAAAGGCCGGGGCUCAACCCCGGCUCGGCCGUGCGGACUCUCGCGCUUGGUGAGUGCUGUAGAGGCGGGCGGAAUUCCGGGUGUAGCGGUGGAAUGCGUAGAGAUCCGGAAGAACACCGGUGGCGAAGGCGGCCCGCUGGGCAGUGACUGACGCUGAGGCGCGACAGCGUGGGGAGCAAACAGG
rnacentral:rRNA from 1 species